CUUUCCCUCUUUCUUCCUGCCUAACACAUGCAAGUCGAGCGGAUGAAGGGAGCUUGCUCCUGGAUUCAGCGGCGGACGGGUGAGUAAUGCCUAGGAAUCUGCCUGGUAGUGGGGGAUAACGUCCGGAAACGGGCGCUAAUACCGCAUACGUCCUGAGGGAGAAAGUGGGGGAUCUUCGGACCUCACGCUAUCUGAUGAGCCUAGGUCGGAUUAGCUAGUUAGUGGGGUAAAGGCCUACCAAGGCGACGAUCCGUAACUGGUCUGAGAGGAUGAUCAGUCACACUGGAACUGAGACACGGUCCAGACUCCUACGGGAGGCAGCAGUGGGGAAUAUUGGACAAUGGGCGAAAGCCUGAUCCAGCCAUGCCGCGUGUGUGAAGAAGGUCUUCGGAUUGUAAAGCACUUUAAGUUGGGAGGAAGGGCAGUAAGUUAAUACCUUGCUGUUUUGACGUUACCAACAGAAUAAGCACCGGCUAACUUCGUG
rnacentral:rRNA from 1 species